AUUUAUAUAAUAUAUAUAUAUUAUAUUUGACUUCCAAUCAAAAAAUCUAACUUUUAGUAUAAAUA
rnacentral:tRNA from 1 species